rnacentral:rRNA from 1 species
AUUGAACGCUGGCGGCAGGCUUAACACAUGCAAGUCGAACGAGGGGCGGACGGGGGAGUAAUGCCUGGGAAUCUGGCUUAUGGAGGGGGAUAACGACGGGAAACUGUCGCUAAUACCGCGUACCAUAGGAUGGGCCCAGGUGGGAUUAGGUAGUUGGUGGGGUAAUGGCCUACCAAGCCGACGAUCUCUAGCUGGUCGGAGGGGAGGACCAGCCACACCGGAACUGGGACACGGCCCGGACUCCUACGGGAGGCAGCAGUGGUGAAUAUGGCGCAAUGGGUGCAACCUGACGCAGCCAGGCCGCGUGAGUGACGAAGGCCUUCGGGUUGUAAAGUUCUUUCGGUGACGAGGCGUUAAUCACAGAAGAAGCACCGGCUAACUCCGUGCCAGCAGCCGCGGUAAUAC